rnacentral:rRNA from 1 species
AUUGAACGCUGGCGGCAUGCCUUACACAUGCAAGUCGAACGGCAGCACGGGGCAACCUGGUGGCGAGUGGCGAACGGGUGAGUAAUGCAUCGGAACGUAUCUUUCAGUGGGGGAUAACGUAGCGAAAGUUACGCUAAUACCGCAUAUUCUGUGAGCAGGAAAGCAGGGGAUCGCAAGACCUUGCGCUGAUUGAGCGGCCGAUGUCAGAUUAGCUAGUUGGUGAGGUAAAGGCUCACCAAGGCGACGAUCUGGAGCGGGUCUGAGAGGAUGAACCGCCACACUGGAACUGAGACACGGCCAGACUGCUACGGGGGGCAGCAGUGGGGAAUUUUGGAAAAUGGGGGCAACCCUGAUCCAGCCAUGCCGCGGGAGUGAAGAAGGCCUUCGGGUUGUAAAGCUCUUUCGGCCGGGAAGAAAUCGCACGGGCUAAUACCCUGUGUGGAUGACGGUACCGGAAUAAGAAGCACCGGCUAACUACGUGCCAGCAGCCGCCGUAAUAC